rnacentral:rRNA from 1 species
GGGUCAGUAGGUUGGUCGUGCCACCGGUACGUACUGGUCUCACUGAUUCCUCCUUCCUGAAGAACCGUAAUGCCACUAAUUUGGUGUUGCGGGAAAACAGGACUGUUACUUUGAAAAAAUUAGAGUGUUUAAAGCAAGCUAACGCUUGAAUACAUUAGCAUGGAAUAAUGAAAUAGGACGAUCGAUCCUAUUUUGUUGGUUUCUAGGAUUGACGUA